UCUGUUUUGCUGUCACUUUGUGUUUUGCCGAGUUAAUCCAAAGAGUUGCUUCAACAAGCAGAACUCAAGGAAACAGGGGUGAGGUUGCUUUAAGGCUUGGAGACUUCUCAGCUAAAGGAAGUGGGCCAGGGAAGGGCUAGGUGCUCUGACAUUCCAAAUAUAGUCUGCUUGGCCACUGAGGAAGAGAGAUUUGUUGCUAGCAACAAGUACUUAGAACGUGUGUGAUUUGGCAUGUCUCGAACUGUGAAGUAGAUGCAAUGCAGGCAAAAAAUGGAUGAUGCUAUGGGGAGGGGCUGUGUAGGGUGUUAAUCGCCAUCUGCAGUGCCUGGAGGUGGGGUGGGGAGAAGUGAAGAAUCUCUUCCUUUUUAAUAGAUUUUCAAGAUGGGAAAAUCAUAUUGCAACCCACAGGCAUUUGGAAACAAUUUGUGCCGAAGACAGAAAGUACACCUAACGUUAAGCUGAAAAAACUGGACACUCCCAGCAAACUCACUUUGCAGACUCCUGGUUGUCAGAAGAAAACGCCAGAGGAUUUCACUUGGCAUUGACCUCUUACUACUUCCAGCCACUUACCCUGGGCAGUAGAAAGAAGGAACAGAAAGCAGAGUAGAUUAAGAGGAGGCCUUGUUUUCGCCAUCAACGCACAGAUCUGAG
rnacentral:lncRNA from 1 species